rnacentral:rRNA from 1 species
CCUACGGGAGGCAGCAGCGAGGAAUUUUGCGCAAUGGGCGAAAGCCUGACGCAGCAACGCCGCGUGGGGGAUGAAGGCCUUCGGGUUGUAAACCCCUUUUCUUGGGGACGAUGAUGACGGUACCCAAGGAAUAAGCCUCGGCUAACUACGUGCCAGCAGCCGCGGUAAUACGUAGGAGGCGAGUGUUGUCCGGAUUUACUGGGCGUAAAGAGCGCGUAGGCGGCCGGCUAAGUCUGGGGUGAAAUCUCCCGGCUUAACUGGGAGGGGGCGCCGGAUACUGGUCGGCUGGAGGGCAUCAGAGGGAAGGGGAAUUCCCGGUGGAGCGGUAAAAUGCGUAGAUAUCGGGAGGAACACCGGUGGCGAAAGCGGCUCCCGGGGGUGCCCCUGACGCUGAGGCGCGAAAGCGGGGGGAGCAAACCGGAUUAGAUCCCCGGGUAGU